rnacentral:tRNA from 1 species
GGGCCCGUAGCUCAGAUUGGUUAGAGCAGUGGACUCAUAAUCCAUUGGUCCUAGGUUCAAGUCCUAGUGGGCCCACCA